AGAUACCCCUGUAGUCCUAGGCGUAAAUGAUGCGAGUUAAGUGUGGGGGCAUCUACGAGAUGGCCCUGUGCUGUAGGGUAGCCGUUAAACGCACCACCUGGGAAGUACGGUCGCAAGGCUGAAACUUAAAGGAAUUGGCGGGGGAGCACCACAACAGGUGGAGCCUGCGGUUUAAUUGGGUUCAACGCCGGACAUCUCACCGGAUAAGACAGCUGAAUGAUUGUCAAUCUGAAGGUUUUACAUGACUAGCUG
rnacentral:rRNA from 1 species